rnacentral:SRP_RNA from 1 species
UGGUCCUCCCGCAACGUUGAGUUGUGAACUCCGCCAGGCCCGGAAGGGAGCAACGGUAGCGAUGAACGCGUGUGCCGGGAUGUGGCU